CGGGAAGACAUGAGAGGCUGCUAGAAGGACUUCCCGCGGCCAGCGCCAUCACCUGCCCACGCCGCAGGGAGCCCUGACCAGAGCUCCAGACCUCUGGGUCCAACUGCCUUAUGGAUCCCUCUCCCUGAAUGUCACAUAGGAGAGGGGACAGGGGUUGGCCACACACCUGGAAAUGGAGUUCUCUGAUGCAAUGUCCUUUGGGGUCCGGACUGUGGUGAAGGUUCGUCCAGCUCCACGCCCACCCACUGGCCGCUGGCAAACUCCGUGGUCCCACAGAACCGCAGUGUGCCCGUCUGGGGAGAGAAGGGAGGCGAUGGCUAAGGAAGGAAUGCUGGGAGGCCAACGUGGAGUGCCCACACACGGGCAGCAAGGUGGGUUGCAUGAGGCCGCCCUGGGCCCAAACCCCAGGUCACACAUCACCAUUUGCUGGCUACAUGACUUAACCUCUGUGUGCCUCAACUUCCUUUGCUGUGAAA
rnacentral:lncRNA from 10 species